CAGCAGCCGCGGUAAUACGUAGGGUGCAAGCGUUGUCCGGAAUUAUUGGGCGUAAAGAGCUCGUAGGCGGUUUGUCGCGUCUGCUGUGAAAACGCGAGGCUCAACCUCGCGCCUGCAGUGGGUACGGGCAGACUAGAGUGUGGUAGGGGAGAUUGGAAUUCCUGGUGUAGCGGUGGAAUGCGCAGAUAUCAGGAGGAACACCGAUGGCGAAGGCAGAUCUCUGGGCCAUUACUGACGCUGAGGAGCGAAAGCGUGGGGAGCGAACAGGAUUAGAUACCCCUGUAGUCCCUGUCUCUUAUAC
rnacentral:rRNA from 1 species